UAUUUUUUCAUUUUAACUUUUAAAACAACCUAUGACUAUUCAGACUCUAGGCAUAUGCCUCUAUGCCAUUGCGCAUUCAAAGUUCUUUUUUGCUGUAGCCCUUAUCAUAUAUAUUAUAUUAGGAUAUAAAGGGCAGAAGAUCUCUGCUAGAUGAUUUUUAUCAAAUUUCUUAAUUUCUGGAUUUCCUUAGCUAUAAAAUGGUACUAGUAAGAUCUACACCUCAGAAGACUGCUGUGAGGAUUAAAUAAGCUCAUACACGUAAAGCUCUUAGUAUAGAGUCUGGUGCAUAAUACAGUUGACCCUUGAACAACAUGGGUUUGGGCUGCUCAGGUCCACUUAUACAUAAAUUUUUUCCAAUAAAUAUACUGGGAAAAUUUUGGAGAUUUGUGAUAAUUUGAAAAAAUAGACAAACCACGCAGUCUAGAAAUUUCAAAAACAGUUAAGUGUGUCAUGAAUGCAUAAAAUAUAUGUACAGAUGACCCUUGAACACCACAGGCGGUGGGGCACCGACCCUACCUGCAGUUGAAAAUCUGCAUAGAGUUUAGUCUUCCCUCCAUAUACUCGGUUCCAGAUCAGCAGAUUCAACCAACCACGAAUUCAACCAACUGCAGAUCGUGCAGUACUGUAGUAUGUAUUUAUUGAAAAAACUUCAUGUAUUAAGUGGAUCAGCGCAGCUCUAACCUGUGUCAUUCAAGGGUCAACUGCAGACCCUAGUCUAUUCUUACAUAGGCCUAAGGUCUCCCACAAUGGAAUGUCAACCCAAAAGGAAUUUCUAACUUGUUCAUUGCCGUACAGUGCCUGGCACUUAGCGCUCAUUUGUUGAAUCAAUGCUAAAUAAAUUGAAAUGAUGCCAUUUUUAAAAGUUAAUAACAAAGUAUCGAUUAUCUACUAUAAAUUCUAAGUGAUGAUAUUUAGGCUUAGAUUGGUAAGAAUAAACAACACUUUACAGAAUAAAAAUCAAUUUGGAAUACCUGGA